CACCUCUAGCAUUUCCAGUAUUAAAGGCACUGCCUGCCCAGUGACAUCUGUUUAAACGGCCGCGGUAUCCUAACCGUGCAAAGGUAGCAUAAUCACUUGUUCCCUAAAUAGGGACUUGUAUGAAUGGCCACACGAGGGUUUUACUGUCUCUUACUUCCAAUCAGUGAAAUUGACCUUCCCGUGAAGAGGCGGGAAUGACUAAAUAAGACGAGAAGACCCUAUGGAGCUUUAAUUAACUGAUUCACAAAAAACAACACACAAACCUAACCUUCAGGGACAACAAAACUUUUGAUUGAAUCAGCAAUUUCGGUUGGGGUGACCUCGGAGAACAAAACAACCUCCGAGUAAUUUAAAUCCAGACUAACCAGUCAAAAUAUAUAAUCACUUAUUGAUCCAAACCAUUGAUCAACGGAACAAGUUACCCUAGGGAUAACAGCACAAUCCUAUUCCAGAGUCCAUAUCGACAAUUAGGGUUUACGACCUCGAUGUUGGAUCAAGACAUCCUAAUGGUGCAACCGCUAUUAAGGGUUCGUUUGUUCAACGAUUAAAGUCUU
rnacentral:rRNA from 1 species